AGAACGAACGCUGGCGGCAUGCCUAACACAUGCAAGUCGAACGAGACCUUCGGGUCUAGUGGCGCACGGGUGCGUAACGCGUGGGAAUCUGCCCUUGGGUACGGAAUAACAGUUAGAAAUGACUGCUAAUACCGUAUAAUGACUCCGGUCCAAAGAUUUAUCGCCCAGGGAUGAGCCCGCGUAGGAUUAGCUAGUUGGAGAGGUAAAGGCUCACCAAGGCGACGAUCCUUAGCUGGUCUGAGAGGAUGAUCAGCCACACUGGGACUGAGACACGGCCCAGACUCCUACGGGAGGCAGCAGUGGGGAAUAUUGGACAAUGGGCGAAAGCCUGAUCCAGCAAUGCCGCGUGAGUGAUGAAGGCCUUAGGUUGUAAAGCUCUUUACCCGGGAUGAUAAUGACAGUACCGGAGAAUAAGCCCCGGCUAACUCCGCGCCAGCAGCCGC
rnacentral:rRNA from 1 species